GGUUGACCUCGGAUCAGGUAGGGAUACCCGCUGAACUUAAGCAUAUCAAUAAGCGGAGGAAAAGAAACCAACAGGGAUUGCCUCAGUAACGGCGAGUGAAGCGGCAAGAGCUCAAAUUUGAAAGCUGGCCCCCUCGGGGCCCGCGUUGUAAUUUGCAGAGGAUGCUUCGGGUGCAGCCCCCGUCUAAGUGCCCUGGAACGGGCCGUCAUAGAGGGUGAGAAUCCCGUCUGGGACGGGGUGUCUGCGUCCGUGUGAAGCUCCUUCGACGAGUCGAGUUGUUUGGGAAUGCAGCUCUAAAUGGGUGGUAAAUUUCAUCUAAAGCUAAAUACUGGCCGGAGACCGAUAGCGCACAAGUAGAGUGAUCGAAAGAUGAAAAGCACUUUGAAAAGAGAGUUAAACAGCACGUGAAAUUGUUGAAAGGGAAGCGUUUGCGACCAGACUCGCCCGCGGGGUUCAGCCGGCACUCGUGCCGGUGUACUUCCCCGUGGGCGGGCCAGCGUCGGUUUGGGCGGCCGGUCAAAGGCCCUCGGAAUGUAUCACCUCUCGGGGUGUCUUAUAGCCGAGGGUGCAAUGCGGCCUGCCCGGACCGAGGAACGCGCUUCGGCUCGGACGCUGGCGUAAUGGUCGUAAAUGACC
rnacentral:rRNA from 2 species